CAGGACGAACGCUGGCGGCGUGCCUAACACAUGCAAGUCGAACGGGGUAAUCCUUCGGGGUUACUUAGUGGCGGACGGGUGAGUAACGCGUGGGUAACCUGCCGUAUACAGGGGGACAACAGUUGGAAACGACUGCUAAUACCGCAUAAGCGCACAGGACCGCAUGGUCUGGUGUGAAAAACUCCGGUGGUAUACGAUGGACCCGCGUCUGAUUAGCUAGUUGGUGAGGUAACGGCCCACCAAGGCGACGAUCAGUAGCCGGCCUGAGAGGGUGAACGGCCACAUUGGGACUGAGACACGGCCCAAACUCCUACGGGAGGCAGCAGUGGGGAAUAUUGGACAAUGGGGGAAACCCCUGAUCCAGCGACGCCGCGUGAGUGAAGAAGUAUUUCGGUAUGUAAAGCUCUAUCAGCAGGGAAGAAAAUGACGGUACCUGACUAAGAAGCUCCGGCUAAAUACGUG
rnacentral:rRNA from 1 species